UGGUGUGGAAUGUGAAGGGUCCUGGAGGUCUGCCAGAGUGGAUCUCCAUCCUGCAGGGGCUGAGGCACCCAGCUGCUACCAGUACUACCACCAUGGUGAGCAGGGCCACUUGGUGGGACCCUGCUUUGUCCCACACACAGAAUUUCUUGGAAUUUAGGUAAAUAGAGCUCAUGAUAAUGUAAGUAAGCUUUAAAAUUAACUUAAAAACCUAUCCCAG
rnacentral:lncRNA from 10 species